UACGGGGGGAGCAAGCGUUGUUCGGAUUUACUGGGCGUAAAGGGCGCGUAGGCGGCCACCGCAAGUCGACUGUGAAAUCUCCGGGCUUAACCCGGAAAGGUCAGCCGAUACUGUGGGGCUAGAGUGCAGAAGGGGCAACUGGAAUUCUCGGUGUAGCAGUGAAAUGCGUAGAGAUCGGGAGGAACACCCGUGGCGAAGGCGGCCAGCUGGGCCGUCCCUGACGCUGAGGCGCGAAGGCGUGGGGAGCGAACGGG
rnacentral:rRNA from 1 species